UGCCAGCCGCCGCGGUAAUACGGAGGGUGCAAGCGUUAAUCGGAAUUACUGGGCGUAAAGCGCGCGUAGGCGGUUAUUUAAGUCAGAUGUGAAAGCCCCGGGCUCAACCUGGGAACUGCAUUCCAAACUGACAAACUAGAGUACGAGAGAGGGGGGUAGAAUUCAGAGUGUAGCGGUGAAAUGCGUAGAUAUUCUGAGGAAUACCGGUGGCGAAGGCGGCCCCCUGGCUUGAUACUGACGCUCAGGUGCGAAAGCGUGGGUAGCAAACAGGAUUAGAUA
rnacentral:rRNA from 1 species